rnacentral:rRNA from 1 species
UAGGGAAUAUUGGUCAAUGGGGGCAACCCUGAACCAGCCAUGCCGCGUGUAGGAUGAAGGCGUUAUGCGUUGUAAACUACUUUUGAUUGGGAACAAAUGACAUCUGCGGAUGUAGCUGAGUGUACCAAUAGAAUAAGCCACGGCUAACUACGUGCCAGCAGCCGCGGUAAUACGUAGGUGGCAAGCGUUGUCCGGAUUUAUUGGGUUUAAAGGGUGCGUAGGCGGCUUAAUAAGUCAGUGGUGAAAGCCGGUAGCUUAACUAUCGAAAUGCCAUUGAUACUGCUAGGCUUGAGUACAGUUGAGGUAGGCGGAAUUGACAGUGUAGCGGUGAAAUGCUUAGAUAUUGUCAAGAACACCAAUUGCGAAGGCAGCUUACUAAAGUGUAACUGACGCUGAGGCA